GAUGAACGCUGGCGGCGUGCCUAAUACAUGCAAGUCGAGCGAACGGACGAGAAGCUUGCUUCUCUGAUGUUAGCGGCGGACGGGUGAGUAACACGUGGAUAACCUACCUAUAAGACUGGGAUAAAUUCGGGAAACCGGAGCUAAUACCGGAUAAUAUCUUGAACAGCAUGGUUCAAAAGUGAAAGACGGUCUUGCUGUCACUUAUAGAUGGAUCCGGGCUGCAUUAGUAAGUUGGUAAGGUAACGGGUUACCAAGGCAACAAUGCAUAGCCGACCUGAGAGAGUGAAAGACCACCCUGAAACUAAAACACGGUCCUAGCUCCUACGGGAGGCGGCAGUAUCGGAACUUCCGCAAUAGGCGAAAGCCUGACGGAGCAACGCCGCGUGAGUGAUGAAGAUCUUCGGAUCGUAAAACUCUGUUAUUAGGGAAGAACAUAUGUGUAAGUAACUGUGCACAUCGUGACGAUACCUAAUCAGAAAGCCACGGCUAACUACGUG
rnacentral:rRNA from 1 species